rnacentral:hammerhead_ribozyme from 1 species
AUCCAGCUGACGAGUCCCAAACAGAACGAAACGCGAGUCCUGGAU